rnacentral:rRNA from 1 species
CGGCAACAGCUCAAAUUUGAAAUCUGGCCCCUUCGGGGCCCGAGUUGUAAUUUGGAGAAGAUGCUUCGGGCGGGGCCCCGGUCUAAGUUCCUUGGAACAGGACGUCACAGAGGGUGAGAAUCCCGUACGUGGUCGCAGGCCUUCUCGAGGUAAAGCCCCUUCGAC